GGACGACUUGACAUAAUAAAGCCUUUGUAAAACAAAGGAAAAAUUUACCGCAACAUUAAAUCGUCUAAUUUUAUUUCUUCUGACUCUUAAUUAUUGUUUACUAACUGUUAUUACCAAUAUUCUUGCUUCUUAAUUGUAAUAGUGAACAAUGAUAAGAAUGUCUUACACACAAUGAUACCGAUUCAAAAAAAAAACAUUCCAAAUGAAGAUGUAAUUGAAUUUUCCACCCUCACAACUGUACCUAUUGUGUUACUCUGUGUUAUUUUUCACAAAUUGCUUUUUUUGCCACAAUGUUUCUAAUUUUUUUCAAUAUAAAUUUCAUCAACCCGGAAAUAUACCAUGUUUAAAGUUCUGUCUCUUUUGCUGUUGUUGGUAUUUUUUGAUUAAAUAUUAUUGCAAAUUGAAUUGCCAUUAAAUUGCUGUUCUAAGAGAUCAUUAAUGGUAACAAUUUUAGUUAUUAACUCUUGCUCAAGAAAGGAGUGUUCAUUCAGUAAUUGUUAAUUCCAUGGUUCCAUAUUCAAAGUUGAUUCAUGAUGAUCAUAAUCCACCCAUUAAUCUUGGAAUCAACCUUUCAUUGGAUUGGCCAUUAACAAGAUUCCCAGUCUAGAUCUUUCGGAAGUUAACAUUUGUCAAAAUUAGAAGAGCAAAUUUGGUUGCAAUGUUGACCGUUUAAAGUCAAUUAACUUUUACCUUUGGUUACCGGUCAAUCCAAUCCAUCAAUACUGAUGACAACUUUCAAUGGCGAUACAAAUUCAGGAUUCAACAGGGAGCUUUAUGACCAGUUUUCCCUGGACUGGCCAUACUUGUUUGGGCUAAUCCUUAUCAUCACCUAAUCACAAGAGUAAUGGAGAGAAAUACAAUGUAAAAUGGUUUCAAGAAGAGUGAAAUGAUCAACCUGAACACAAACUAUUGUUGUGUUGAAAAGGCUUGAAAAUCAUCACAAUCAUGAUACACCAUUGCGUGAUAGAUUGAUUAAAAGGGAAUCUACCUUUGAUUUUACAAACAUUACGUAUUACCAUUGAUUAUCUUUGAGGAACGAUUUGUACACUUACACAUUAAUUUAGUUUCAUUUUUUUACUUUCUCUCGCCUUCUUUCACAUUCAUUCAUAAUUUCAACUUUUACUCUUCAAUUGUUAUCAUGUUUACUUUUAUCAUGUGUAAUACAAUCAAGCAAAGUUAUAAUAAUAACGCUGGAAAAAAGCAAAUGAUUGAGCGAUGAUUGAACUUAAUGAUAUUUACUGGCAUUCAGGAAAGGUAUGAAGAAGAAGAAAAAAUUAAGAAAUCAAUGAAAUGUUACCUUGAGAUAAUUCUUGUACUUACAAACGCUUUUCCACUGUUUCAUUUCAACAUUUAUAUAACAUUAUUACUCUGGGAAUAUUUUUAUCAUUGGAAUUAUCAUUAUUAUUGAAUGUGUAUGUUUUUUUCAAUCAACAAUCAGAGAAAAUAAUUUUGUAAUGAUUACUCAUAAAAAGUAAAUUGAAAAAGGGUCUUUCCCUGAGUAAAUAUUUCAAUAGACUUGUCCAUAUGAAGAAAGCUAAAGUACACCGAAACAUCUUCACAUUACCUAAUUGUUGAAGCAUGUUCAUUUCAUUUAGUCAAUGUAAUUGUUGUUUUACCCGGUUAAUUCAAUUGUUGCAAUCAUUAUUCCGGAAGUUAAUAUCAUCAAUCACUCAUGAAAGUCAUGGUGAAAACAAUUUAAUAAAAGGUAUUACUAAUGAAGCUCAAGACAGGCAUUGAUACUCGAGGCGCUGUUGUCCACUUACACAUGUUAAGAGUAACUUAUUAGCAGCAAGUUAUUACUAGUCUAAUGCUACUGACUCAAGUGGAUUAACUUGUAAUGCUUAGGUGUUUUUAUUGUUUAAUUGUUGUCUGGUAAAUUGUUAUUUUAAACCUGUAAUUGUGUUAACUAAAGGAUCAUUUUAAUACCCUGGAUUAAAUUAAUCCUAUUAUGAUGAAGGUUAUUUUAUUGGAAUGGCAAAUUAUCAUGCUAAUCAUCUCUGGAUUUGAUUGUUUUCCGAAGCCAAGCAAAGACAAUACAAAAGGGCAAAAUGUACAUUUUCCGUUCUCUGGAUUAAAGCAACUCCAGGCUAUUUGAAGGAGGACCAUCAAAGGAUCAUCAUUAUGACCAUCACCAACAACAUUGAAAUAAUGAUGAACUGAAAGAGCAAUUAUUUGGUCACAGACGUAAUCCAUUGAAAGGCUGUUAACCAGAGCGAUGACACCAAAUGAAACUUCAUAGGAUGCAAAGGCUUUAUUUAUCGAUAUUUUUGAUUGAUUUAUAUCUAUCACGUUAUAUCUGAUUUGGUUAAUUCAAGUCAAUUGAUCAGAAUGACCACAAAAACAGUUAAUCGCCGGCAACUAUCAUAGCAAUGGCCACACCAAAAGCAAUGGAUGUUUGCCUCAUAUGAUUAUACAUAUUACUUACAUGUUAGUGUGUUUAUUAUAGUAAUUAGAUGACAAUUAAUUCAUCAAAUUGCGCUGUGCAAAUCUAAAUUAAAACUCAAAGGUGUCUUAAAUCAUACCUUUGUUGUAUAUCAUUAAUGUGUUUCUGCAAAUGGGUAAAUAAGUAAAUUGAUCAUCAUCUUGUUUACCCGGUCAAAAUCGUGUUACCCAGAGUAAAUGUAAAUUGUAAUUUGUAACUAUUUACAAAAUUAUUAGUUAUCACCAUUAAACAAUAAUUUUUUCUUCUU